rnacentral:lncRNA from 10 species
UUUAAUUCCAUUUAUGAUUUGUUUUAAAGUAUAGAAACUUGAUACCUCCCUGCAAGCUGAGGGAGCAGGCUCCGGCCUUGGCCAGCCCAGAAAGGGGAUCCCACAAUGCAGCGGUGGGCUGAAGUGUUCCUCAAGUGCCGCCAAAGUGGGAGCCCAGGCAGAGGAGGCGCCGAGAGCGAGUGAGGGCUGUGAGGACUGCCAGCACGCUGUCACCUCUCAACACUGCGGUGCUGAUAAUGACACUUCCUGAUAAUUAGGAAUGUGGAGCCAAGAUGGCCGAAUAGGAACAGCUCCGGUCUACAGCUCCCAGCGUGAGCGACGCAGAAGAUGGGUGAUUUCUGCAUUUCCAUCUGAGGUUUUUCCCAUGGUGUUCCCUUUCCAAUGUCUUUCUGGAAGUCACACAUUGACCACUAACAACAGGAGAGAGGACAAAGAAAGGCAGCAAAAGACUAUUUCCAAUGCGAAAUAUGAUCAGUGUGCCCCAAGGAAGCCAAAAGAUUGGACACCCCUGGAAACUCAUCAGUCAGAGGAGAUGUGAGUGAGAGGCCUCAAGUGACCCUUUCUGGAAAUUCUUCCAUAUGAAAACAUGGGAGGAGGGAGGUUUCCUAUGUAGGAACCACAUGUGCAAAAAUGGCAAAAGAAAGAGAGGAGCAAGAGAUCCGCUUAUGAUAAUCCAACAAAACGAUAACUGGAACAGAAAAGAAAACGACGGCCAAUCAAACCCCUGAGUGACUCCACAUUGUCUUUAAUUCUCCUCUAAUCAAAGAGCAGCACACAGUUGUGAGAGGUGGUCCGAGCCGGGGAGAUUAUGCAGAGAGUGACUCCAUUCAGAGAAAUUUUGGCAUGAUUCCUAACCUCUUAGCCUGAGGGAGAAUUUCUUAAAUUUUAUUUGUGGUUCUCACCUGAGAGAAUUGAUGCCUUCAAGAGAGCACCAGACAGAGGCUAAACAGACAUGCAAUAAAAUUAUCCUCCUUGGAUGGGUCAGGAGCUGGCUGAUAACUUACUCUAAGCCUACAUCAAUCAGGGAGCAGCAGGGGCAUCCACAGUCAAGGAGAGCUGAAGGUGGCAGGGCGUACAGCCGCAGAUCAUCUUAAAUAAAGAUAUAGAAGGCAGACUCUCAUAAAAGAAACCAUAAAUGAAACAAUGAAUAACGACUUCUGUUUAUCAUUCUCUAUUGUUUGCAACUUUCACAAUAAGCGUGUAUUGUUUUCUUAAAUAAAUAGCAAACAAUAAACUCAUAUUGAUAUGGCAUCAAUUUUCACUGAAUACCCUAAGAGGAAGCCAUGUUUUUCCUGCGUUUUGUAAAGCUUACAGGUGGAUUUCUUUUUUCUUUUCUUAAAAAGAGUACAUUCGGA